rnacentral:misc_RNA from 1 species
AAGUCGUAACAAGGUCUCCGUUGGUGAACCAGCGGAGGGAUCAUUACAGAGUUGCAAAACUCCCCUAAACCAUCGCGAACCCAACCCCUAAACAGUUGCUUCGGCGGCGCCCCGAAGGCCCUCAGCGGCCGGAGUGGCCCGCCGGGGACCCCCCAAACUCUUGUUUUCAACAGAAUGGCCUCUCUGAGUACUGUACUUUUAAUAAGUCAAAACUUUCAACAACGGAUCUCUUGGUUCUG